rnacentral:rRNA from 1 species
UAACUCCGGGAAACCGGGGCGUAAUACCGGAUAACACAUGAAACCGCAUGGUUUCAUGAUGAAAGACGGUUUUGCUGUCACUUAUAGAUGGACCCGCGGCGUAUUAGCUAGUUGGUAAGGUAACGGCUUACCAAGGCAACGAUACGUAGCCGACCUGAGACGGGUGAUCGGGCCACUACUGGAACUGAGACACGGGUCCAGACUCCUACGGGAGGCAGCAGGA